UUUUUUUUCCUUUUUCUAUUCAACAAAAGUGUCAUAAUUUAUAUAAGUGCGGAUAUGGGAAAGGUAUGAUUUAUUAUUACCUAUCGUUGAAAAGAAAAAAAAUAUUCUGGUUAUCGCUUUGUAUGUAUUAGAAGUAGCUCAAAAGUACAUAAUAACAAUAUAAGUGGUAUCUUCAUGAAUAUAUUAUAUAGUUCACAACAGUGGUGAAACAAAUGUGGUCCUUGAAAAGCGGUUGUUUCUCGAUUUUUUUGAAUGAUUUGAGAUGAGUGCUUAUUAUGAAAAUAACUAAAUAUUAAUGUUUGUUUACUACGAAUUUAGUGAAUUCAGUAGAAUUAGGUGAAAACAUAGGGAUGUAUUGGGACAAUAGGGAAAUAUUGGUGGGUGAGUACUGGGUACUGGGUAGAUUAAUAUUAUUAUUUUAGGUUUGUUACGCCAUCGGUUCACAAAAAAAAAAG